AUUGAACGCUGGCGGCAGGCCUAACACAUGCAAGUCGAGCGGAUGAGAGGAGCUUGCUUCUCGAUUCAGCGGCGGACGGGUGAGUAAUGCCUAGGAAUCUGCCUGGUAGUGGGGGACAACGUUUCGAAAGGAACGCCAAUACCGCAUACGUCCUACGGGAGAAAGCAGGGGACCUUCGGGCCUUGCGCUAUCAGAUGAGCCUAGGUCGGAUUAGCUAGUUGGUGAGGUAAUGGCUCACCAAGGCGACGAUCCGUAACUGGUCUGAGAGGAUGAUCAGGCACACUGGAACUGAGACACGGUCCAGACUCCUACGGGAGGCAGCAGUGGGGAAUAUUGGACAAUGGGCGAAAGCCUGAUCCAGCCAUGCCGCGUGCGUGAAGAAGGUCUUCGGAUUGUAAAGCACUUUAAGUUGGGAGGAAGGGUUGUAGAUUAAUACUCUGCAAUUUUGACGUUACCGACAGAAUAAGCACCGGCUAACUCUGUGCCAGCCGCCGCGGUAACAC
rnacentral:rRNA from 1 species